AAGGAAACUGGCAUCCAAUCAGGAUUGAGGCCGUUGUGGGCGGUUCCGGGAAGAGCAACAGCGAAUGACAGUUCAGAAGCUAAAUUAAGCGCGGGAAAGCCAGUCCGCGAGAAGCAGCUCUUCAGUCUCAGGAGGACCCUGAAAAUGGAGUCAGAAAUCCAGUCUGGAAAAUUCUGACGGCUGACAGGAAGGAGGUUAUUGAAUUCAUUGGAGAGUGAAUAUUGUCCUGAAUUUGGCAGUGCAAUGGGCCCAGGUUAAUUUGCCCAGCUCACAGAGGACAGUAACUAGGAGCUCCGUGGAUUCAGAACUCUACCAGCUUAGCCACGAUCCUGACAACCUAUCUCCAGCCUCCCUUCAGAAAGCACCACGGACUGAUUCUUCUACACAA